rnacentral:rRNA from 1 species
UUGCCUCAGUAACGGCGAGUGAAGCGGCAAUAGCUCAAAUUUGAAAUCUGGCUCUUUUAGAGUCCGAGUUGUAAUUUGUAGAGGAUGCUUCGGCUUACGUCUCGGUCUAAGUUCCUUGGAACAGGACGUCACAGAGGGUGAGAAUCCCGUUUGUGGCCGCGACUUCCGCCAUGUGAAGCUCCUUCGACGAGUCGAGUUGUUUGGGAAUGCAGCUCUAAAUGGGAGGUAUAUUUCUUCUAAAGCUAAAUACCGGCCAGAGACCGAUAGCGCACAAGUAGAGUGAUCGAAAGAUGAAAAGCACUUUGGAAAGAGAGUUAAAAAGUACGUGAAAUUGUUGAAAGGGAAGCGCUUGCGACCAGACUUGCCCGCGGAUGCUCAACCGGUCCUUCGGCCGGUGCACUCUUCCGCGGUCAGGCCAGCAUCAGUUCGAGCAGUCGGAUAAAGGCCUUGGGAAUGUGGCUCUCUUCGGGGAGUGUUAUAGCCCUUGGUACAAUACGACUCGCCUGGACUGAGGCCCGCGCUUCGGCUAGGAUGCUGGCGUAAUGGUCGUAAGCGGCCCGUCUUGAAACACGGACCAAGGAGUCUAACAUCUAUGCGAGUGUUUGGGUGUCAAACCCGUGCGCGAAAUGAAAGUGAACGGAGGUGGGAACCUUUGGGUGCACCAUCGACCGAUCCUGAUGUCUUCGGAUGGAUUUGAGUAAGAGCAUAGCUGUUGGGACCCGAAAGAUGGUGAACUAUGCCUGAAUAGGGUGAAGCCAGAGGAAACUCUGGUGGAGGCUCGCAGCGGUUCUGACGUGCAAAUCGAUCGUCAAAUUUGGGUAUAGGGGCGAAAGACUAAUCGAACC